GAGGGUAUAGUUCAGUGGUAGAGUGCAUGCCUAGCAUGUACAAGGUCCUGGGUUCAAUCCCCAGUCCCUCCA
rnacentral:tRNA from 1 species